GUCGAGAAUCUUUCACAAUGGGGGCAACCCUGAUGGAGCGACGCCGCGUGGAGGAUAAGGUCUUCGGAUUGUAAACUCCUGUCAUGCGUGAACAAGGUUGCUUGGUUAAUACCUGGGCAAAUUGAUGGUAACGCAAGAGGAAGAGACGGCUAACUCUGUGCCAGCAGCCGCGGUAAUACAGAGGUCUCAAGCGUUGUUCGGAAUCACUGGGCGUAAAGGGUGCGUAGGUGGCGUGGUAAGUCAGAUGUGAAAGCCCGGGGCUCAACCUCGGAACUGAAUCCGAUACUGCCAUGCUAGAGUACUGGAGAGGUGACUAGAAUUCUCGGUGUAGCAGUGAAAUGCGUAGAUAUCGAGAGGAAUACCAAAGGCGUAGGCAGGUCACUGGACAGUUACUGACACUGAGGCACGAAGGCCAGGGGAGCGAACGGGAUUAGAAACCCGUGUAGUCC
rnacentral:rRNA from 1 species